AACUCAGGAUUGACGGGGCCCGCACAGCGGUGGAGCAUGUGGUUUAUUCGAAGCACGCGAAGAACCUUACCAGGUCUUGACAUCCUCUGACAACCCUAGAGAUAGGGCUUUCCCUUCGGGGACAGAGUGACAGGUGGUGCAUGGUUGUCGUCAGCUCGUGUCGUGAGAUGUUGGGUUAAGUCCCGCAACGAGCGCAACCCUUGAUCUUAGUUGCCAGCAUUCAGUUGGGCACUCUAAGGUGACUGCCGGUGACAAACCGGAGGAAGGUGGGGAUGACGUCAAAUCAUCAUGCCCCUUAUGACCUGGGCUACACACGUGCUACAAUGGACAGAACAAAGGGCUGCAAGACCGCAAGGUUUAGCCAAUCCCAUAAAUCUGUUCUCAGUUCGGAUCGCAGUCUGCAACUCGACUGCGUGAAGCUGGAAUCGCUAGUAAUCGCGGAUCAGGCAUGCCGCGGUGAAUACGUUCCCGGGCCUUGUACACACCGCCCGUCACACCACGAGAGUUUGCAACACCCGAAGUCGGUGAGGUAACCUUUAUGGAGCCAGCCGCCGAAGGUGGGGCAGAUGAUGGGGGAA
rnacentral:rRNA from 1 species